rnacentral:rRNA from 1 species
GAUGAACGCUGGCGGCGUGCCUAAUACAUGCAAGUCGAGCGAACAGGGGCCGGGUGAGUAACACGUGGAUAACCUCCUAUAAGACUGGGGUAACUUAGGGAACACGGAGGUCAACCGGACACUUAUAGAUUGAUCCGCGCUGCAUUAGCUAGGUGGUAAGGUAACGGCUUACAAAGGCAACGAUGCGUAGCCGACCUGAGAGGGUGAUCAGCCACACGGGAACUGAGACACGGUCCAGACUCCUGCGGGAGGCAGCAGUAGGGAAUCGGCCGCAAUGGGCGAAAGCCUGACGGAGCAACGCCGCGUGAGUGAUGAAGGUCUUCGGAUCGUAAAACUCUGUUAUUAGGGAAGCGGUAUCUAACCAGUAAGCCACGGCUAACGACGUGCCAGCAGCCGCGGUAAUAC